rnacentral:rRNA from 1 species
AACGCGAAGAACCUUACCUGGGUUCGAAAUGCAGGUGUAAACCUCAGAGAUGAGGUCCCCUCUUCGGAGGCACCUGUAUAGGUGCUGCAUGGCUGUCGUCAGCUCGUGCCGUGAGGUGUUGGGUUAAGUCCCGCAACGAGCGCAACCCUUAUCAUUAGUUGCCAACAUUUCGGAUGGGGACUCUAAUGAGACUGCCUAGGUUAACUAGGAGGAAGGUGAGGAUGACGUCAAGUCAGCAUGGCCCUUAUGUCUGGGGCUACACACGUGCUACAAUGGUCGGUACAGAAGGCAGCGAAACAGUGAUGUGGAGCAAAUCCCCAAAGCCGAUCUCAGUUCAGAUUGUAGUCUGCAACUCGACUACAUGAAGCUGGAAUUGCUAGUAAUGACGUGUCAGCAACAACGUCGUGAAUACGUUCCCGGGCCUUGUACACACCGAGUAUA